rnacentral:misc_RNA from 1 species
CGCACAUUGCGCCCGCUAGUAUUCUGGCGGGCAUGCCUGUCUGAGCGUCAUUUCAACCCUCGCGCCCGGCUUCUGUCGGGGGCGGUGUUGGGGAUCGGCCGCCCGUCACUGGGAGGCCGGCCCCUAAAUGGAGUGGCGACCACGCCGUAGCCUCCUCUGCGUAGUAGUCUUACCACCUCGCAGGCGGAGAGCGGUGCGGUCCGCCGUAAAACCCCCCAACUCUUCCAAGGUUGACCUCAGAUCAGGUAGGAAUACCCGCUGAACUUAA